rnacentral:lncRNA from 1 species
UUCGGAAUGAAGGAUGGCUUGCUGUUGAACCCCUCGUAAGGUAGCACCAUGGAAUUAUUGUUGUCGAGAGCAUUUUCUAUCUUCUUAUCCAAUUAUUGGUCGAGCACUUGGAAUCGCCUUUCGAUGUUGAGAUGUCGGACGGUGCAGGCCUCGGAGCGCAGAGGAGAGUGACGACCAGGGGUUGAAUCAUGCUCUGAUCGCGGACUUGA